rnacentral:rRNA from 1 species
CCUACGGGUGGCAGCAGUGGGGAAUAUUGCGCAAUGGGCGAAAGCCUGACGCAGCGACGCCGCGUGAGGGAUGAAGGUCUUCGGAUCGUUAACCUCUGUCAGCAGGGAAGAACGGUCACUGUGCUAAUCAGCAGUGAAUUGACGGUACCUGCAAAGGAAGCACCGGCUAACUCCGUGCCCGCAGCCGCGGUAAUACGGCGGGUGCGAGCGUUAAUCGGAAUUACUGGGCGUAAAGCGCUCGUAGGCGGUAUGUCAAGUCAAGGGUGAAAUCCCCGCGCUCAACGUGGGAACUGCCUUUGAAACUGGCAAACUGGAGUGUGUGAGAGGAUAGCGGAAUUCCAGGGGUAGGAGUGAAAUCCGUAGAUAUCUGGAGGAACAUCAGUGGCGAAGGCGACUAUCUGGCACAUAACUGACGCUGAGGAGCGAAAGCGUGGGUAGCAAACAGGAUUAGAUACCCGGGUAGUC